UACGUAGGGUCCAAGCGUUGUCCGGAUUUAUUGGGCGUAAAGAGCUCGUAGGCGGUUCGGUAAGUCGGAUGUGAAAACUCAGGGCUCAACCCGGAGACGCCAUCCGAUACUGCUGUGACUUGAGUCUGGUAGGGGAACACGGAAUUCCUGGUGUAGCGGUGAAAUGCGCAGAUAUCAGGAGGAACACCGAUGGCGAAGGCAGUGUUCUGAGCCAGUACUGACGCUGAGGAGCGAAAGCGUGGGGAGCGAACAGG
rnacentral:rRNA from 1 species